rnacentral:rRNA from 1 species
UACGGAGGGUGCGAGCGUUGUCCGGAAUCAUUGGGCGUAAAGGGCGCGUAGGUGGCCUGGUCAGCGUGCGGUGAAAGCUCGGGGCUCAACCCCGAGUCGGCCGUGCGAACUGCUGGGCUUGAGCACUGUAGAGGCAGGCGGAAUUCCGGGUGUAGCGGUGAAAUGCGCAGAUAUCAGGAGGAACACCAAUUGCGAAGGCAGCUCGCUGGGACGUUACUGACGCUGAGACGCGAAAGCGUGGGAGCAAACAGG